AGUGUGCUGGCUUCAUCCUCUGGCCCUUCACCUUACGCCUGCAUUAUCUGUGGCAAAGGCUGUCACUCAGGAAUUUGAGAGAGAACACGGGUGAGGUAAUAUCUUUUAUUGGACCAACUUCUGUUGCUGCAAGAGACAAGCUUUUGAGCCACACAGAGCUCUUCUUCAGGUCUGCAAGAUGAACUGGAUUUUUUAGCCACUCAUGAAUGACACACAGUAACUGAACCGCUUUGGCACUUACACCGUCAUCUUUCAAGACGAAAGUCUGCCAUUAUUAUCCUGCAGGACAGGAGAUCCCCCGUGGGAAAGGAGGAAUUUAAAGGCUCUACUUAUAACCAAAGGAUGAAACUUCUGCCUCAACUCUGAAUUUCCUUGCCUUUCUGAGUUUGUCAGACCACUAAAUGUGAUUUGAAUAUUAUAUGUUUAGUUUCCUAUUGAUUUAGUCUUUCAUAGUUUAAGAGAGACAAGAAAAUAAAGAAGGGAAGAAACAUUCCUCUGAGAGACUCUUCUGCCAUUACUGGAAGCAGGAAGUACAAGAAACCUCACAGAAAAGUCUAUUCUCAAGUUGUUUCCAGCUCUGUUCUCUACUUCCACCACAAACUGCAGAAACUAGAAUAAUUCCUCUAAACACCUGAAUUUUGAUUGCAACUGAACCAAAACUAUGUACCUUUGAAGUUCACCCAUCACUAAAUUCAGUUCAUUCUCUCGUUCCAGCUAUUAGGAUGGAUAACAUUUAUUUUGGUAUCACCCUCUUUCAGGUGCAAAUGUUUCUAUGCUCCCCCUAUCAUGUCGUCCC